AGGGCUUGUAAAUUUAUAAAAAAGCAAAGGAUAUAAAAGUAAAAAAGAAGUUCAAUCCACUCUUCGAACCUCUAAAUGUUAGGAGAAAUAUAGCUUUUUAUAAACCAUUGGUUCAACCUCUAAAUGCUAAUAUAAAAGCUAAGUUAUUGAACAACAUAAAUAAUAGAAAUAAUAUUUUGAUUAUAGUAAAAAAGCUAAACUUAACCUAAAAAACUAUUGCAGAACAGGGUUGUUGCCGAACAAAGGCUUAAUA
rnacentral:misc_RNA from 1 species